rnacentral:tRNA from 1 species
GGAGAGAUGGCUUAGAGGUUAAGAGCACUGACUGUUCUUCCAGAGGUCCUGAGUUCAAAUCCCAGCAACCACA